CUUUCUUUGCUGGCGACCGGCGCACGGGUGAGUAACACGUAUCCAACCUGCCCUUUACUCGGGGAUAGCCUUUCGAAAGAAAGAUUAAUACCCGAUGGCAUAAUGAUUCCGCAUGGUUUCAUUAUUAAAGGAUUCCGGUAAAGGAUGGGGAUGCGUUCCAUUAGGUUGUCGGUGAGGUAACGGCCCACCAAGCCUUCGAUGGAUAGGGGUUCUGAGAGGAAGGUCCCCCACAUUGGAACUGAGACACGGUCCAA
rnacentral:rRNA from 1 species